UACACGCAUGAUUGCAAGUCGCUUUGGAUAAAAGUGUCUGCUAAAUGGCAUAUU
rfam:Salmo salar isolate Sally breed double haploid chromosome ssa12, whole genome shotgun sequence.